rfam:Stegodyphus mimosarum contig110491, whole genome shotgun sequence.
GCCUUUGUGGUGUAAAGGUAGCACACUCAGCGCGUAUUCGAGAGGUCCACGUUCGAGUCCUGGCGAGGGCA